UACAGAGGUCCCGAGCGUUGUUCGGAUUCACUGGGCGUAAAGGGUGCGUAGGUGGCGCUGUAAGUGGGGUGUGAAAUCCCCGGGGCUUAACUCCGAAACUGCAUUCGAUACUGGCGUGCUUGAGGACUGGAGAGGAGACUGGAAUUUACGGUGUAGCAGUGAAAUGCGUAGAUAUCGUAAGGAAGACCAGUGGCGAAGGCGGGGUCUCUGGACAGUUCCUGACACUGAGACACGAAGGCCAGGGGAGCAAACGGGG
rnacentral:rRNA from 1 species